rfam:Streptomyces violaceusniger Tu 4113, complete genome.
CCGGCGGGCGGCCGCUCGCCGGUAACUGACACUGGUACCUGAUACGGCCGGUGCAG